CCCUUCGAUGUUCUGGGCCGCACGCGCGCUACACUGAUCGGGUCAACAAGUUUACAACCUGCUCCGAGAGGACUGGGUAAUCUUUUGAAACCCGAUCGUGAUAGGGAUAGAUGAUUGCAAUUAUUUGUCUUGAACGAGGAAUGCCUAGUAGGGUCGGUUCAACAGAUCGACCCGAUUACGUCCCUGCCCUUUGUACACACCGCCCGUCGCUCCUACCGAUUGAAUGGUCCGGUGAAGCGUUUGGACUAUGGUUUUCUGACGGUUCGCCAUUGGAUUACCGCGGGAAAUUCGUUAAACCUUAUCAUUUAGAGGAAGGAGAAGUCGUAACA
rnacentral:rRNA from 1 species